UACGUAGGGGGCUAGCGUUGUCCGGAAUCAUUGGGCGUAAAGCGCGCGUAGGCGGCCAGAUAAGUCCGGUGUGAAAGUCACAGGCUCAACCUGUGAAUGCCGCUGGAAACUGUCUGGCUAGAGUCCGGAAGGGGCGAGUGGAAUUCCUGGUGUAGCGGUGAAAUGCGCAGAUAUCAGGAGGAACACCAAUAGCGAAGGCAGCUCGCUGGGACGUUACUGACACUGAGGCGCGAAAGCGUGGGGAGCGAACAGG
rnacentral:rRNA from 1 species